rnacentral:rRNA from 1 species
UCCCGUACCUUUUGCAGCAUGGACCAGCGAUUAAAUGCAGGCGCUCAGCAUCGCUGUACUUUU